UACGUAGGUGGCAAGCGUUUGUUCGGAAUUAUUGGGCGUAAAGAGCGUGUAGGCGGUCCGGUAAGUCAGCUGUGAAAGUCAAGGGCUCAACCCUUGAAAGCCGGUUGAUACUGUCGGGCUAGAGUCCGGAAGAGGCGAGUGGAAUUCCCGGUGGUAGCGGUGAAAUGCGCAGAUAUCGGGAGGAACACCAAUGGCGAAGGCGGCAUCCUGGACCAACACUGACGCUGAGGAGCGAAAGCCAGGGGAGCAAACGGG
rnacentral:rRNA from 1 species